AACAACAAAAAACCUAUAUUUUUAAAAAACAUUUACAAAAUAAGACCCAAUCUUUUAAUCUUCAAACAAAUAAUUAUAUCCAUUUCAUAAUCCCUCUACAAAUGCAAUGUUACGCUCUCCUUUUCCAUUUCUUUUGCAUGCUCCACGGACGUCACCUGUAUGUAACUUCAUGGUCACGGAAUUUUGUUUGAGUCAUCACUAAAUAUGGAAUGAAGACUUGGAAAAGGACCACAGGCCUGGUCUCAAACAUAGUCCAGCAUUGACGAACCAUCAGUUUGGAAGGGUUACUGAUAUUUGUUCGUGACGACGAGACCAAACUCUUCUUAACAUAUCUGGAUACAGAUCCAGUUGAGAGGGCAACCCGAGGUGUUACGGUGGGCAUCCUCACAGUUCUGGAGGACUACGUGGGACCCAACUCGCAGUCCACAGGGGUCAACACUGCCAUUGUUUUCGAAGAGGACAUUAUUCUUGAUGAUCUGCCAGACCUUCCCACUGCCUUUGCCUACCGGUUUGGCCUACUUUAUGGGCUCAACAUGGAGUUUCCCAAAGAACUCAAGUACACAUUUGUUUGCUGUAUGGAAACCAGAAGAGUUCACAUCCUGCCAUCUGAUGUUUUGAAUCUGUUUGUUAGUGACUAUCAAUCAAGAUAGGUUUGAUAUUCUGACUGACAAUACUACACCUUUAAAAUUGGAUGACUUUUUCUUGUUUUUGGAAAAGGACUUUAUUGGCUGAAUGUUGUCAGUAUGUUAAAAAUGGCUCAUCUCAGUGGUGCAGUUGUGUUUGAACACAAUAAAGUUAUUUGAAAAUCAACAUUGUAUAAACAUUCAUUAAUACAACA